UACGAAGGGGGCUAGCGUUGCUCGGAAUCACUGGGCGGAAAGGGUGCGUAGGCGGGCCUUUAAGUCAGGGGGGAAAUCCUGGAGCUCAACUCCAGAACUGCCUUUGAUACUGAGGAUCUUGAGUUCGGGAGAGGUGAGUGGAACUGCGAGUGUAGAGGUGAAAUUCGUAGAUAUUCGCAAGAACACCAGUGGCGAAGGCGGCUCACUGGCCCGAUACUGACGCUGAGGCACGAAAGCGUGGGGAGCAAACAGG
rnacentral:rRNA from 1 species